UCGUCAUGACAUUUCUAGUCUAGAAUUCUAGAUGGAUUUUGCUAGUCUAUACUAGUAUAACCUAUUUUUUAUCAUUUUUAUUUAUUAAAGAUUUUUCUUUUGUAUAUUAAAGAAUGUAGUAGAAUGCAUUCCUUUAUAAACCUUAGUUACUCUAUAAUCUAAAUUUAAAUUUAUUCAAAUUUACCAUUUUAACACAAAGAAAUAACAGCCAGUUGAUAUUGCUCCACACCCUCUGUGUGGGCUUCUCCAGCAGUGGGAGACACCUUGUCUUCCAUGGUGCAGACCUCCUGGCUUUCGUAGAACAGCGCUGACCAGGAGUAGCCUCCGAGAGUCUUGUACAUGAGCGCCAGGUAUAGACACAUCACAAUUGGACAUAUGUAUUGGAGCGCUACGACGCACAGGUAAUAGAAUACUGACGCGAUCUGGAAGGUGGGAAAUGAUUUAAUGAAAAUUACUUAUUUUUAUUUUAACUUUAAUGCACAGUAAAUUUUUUUUUUUAUACAGCUUAGAAUGGCAAACAAGCUGACGGCCCACCUGAUGGAAAAUGGUAACCGUCGCCUAUAGACAUGAGCAGUGCCAUCGACAUAACAGAGUAUACUGUUUCGCCCAUGAUACCCCCCCCCCCCCAUGCGUUGCCAUUCCUGAGGACUCAAGUGUUAUUCCUCUGUACCCUGUAAAUUCUCGCCAUAUCCCACCCUUCAAACCGAAACACAGCCAUGCAAACACAACUGCUUCACGGUUGAAACUCUAUGUACAUUUGGCGGACUUAACACUGGACAGUGUUCUCUACCAGUCAACCAUUAGGCAAACGGAGAAAUACGUUUUGAAUAGAGGAAAAGUGAUAAAUUAUCAUAUUAUUUUCUCUUCACAAAAAGCACUAAAAGGUACAGAGAAAUUUGUACACAACCAUGCAAACAACUGCUUCACGGUUGAAACACGAAUUGUUUGUAUUCUGUAAAAUCGAACCUGAGACCCAUGGAUGAUGAGGAGGUGUGUAAAAAUAAUUCAAAUAGUAUUCCAAAAAAAGUCGAAAAAUAAUGUAUAAAUGCCAUCAAUGACCUUCUUCUGCAAAUCAAUGUUCGUGAUCCGGCCGGCCUCCUUCUUCUGCAGGUCGAGCCGGCGCUGCGCCAUGUCGAGGUAGGCCUGCAGCUGCCGCGGCAUCAGCGCCAGCCGCAGCACCACUGUCCCCACAACCAGCACCAGUCGCAGCGUGUCGAACGCGUCUGAUGACAUGCUGCGCAAAAAAAGCACUACCAGUUAAAAUUACAGACAAGCAAAUUGGCAGUAAAUAAACAAAACUGUUUUACUUUAUGAUAUUUUAAAA